AAAAACGUCCCAAUUACACCAAAAAAAGCUAACUUGAAAACUCAUGUCCAGCUAAAUCAGCAACUUAUGUGAACUUGACAAUGUGGGUAAGUUGAGCACAGCAGGAUUCAAAACUGCCUCACGUGACUGCUACCGAGGUGCAUCAUGGGGAAUUGGCGGUUAACGACAUGCUCACUUUACUUGGACGUUUUCUAAUCGUCUUCUUUGGAAUAUGCUUUCAAGGUCUGUGAAGCCAAACUUGAUGCUGGGGAUUUAUUUUUGUCAGUGGAGUCAAAUGGUUGAAGCAGAAUUUGCCCGUCUUACAUCUGUUGACCUGAAAGGGUUCCUUUCUGCUGUGCUUGACCAUUAUGGAGAGGUUCGUGGAGCUGUACAAAAUCAAGAGCGG
ensembl:lncRNA